rnacentral:tmRNA from 1 species
GGGGGCGUAAAGGUUUCGACGGGGAUUUUGAACCAUGAACAGCGAGCAGCGGCGCGGGACCGCUUUAUAAAUGCCGCAAUUUUAUAAAUUAAACAACAACAAUAACGUUGCACUCGCUGCUUAAUUAAGCAGCCGUCCUGCCGGUGAGCACCGCGGCUCCGGUUUGGGCGUCACACAGCGGUGAACGUGAACUCCGCCUUGCUCCGAGCGGGGUCAUGACCUUGGGGCUACCGAAACUGCAAGCCUGUUAACCGGCGUGUGGAAACAGACAACAGUUGUUUUCUGUUAGGGGAAUCGUAAAAGAUUAACUACGCUCGUAGAAAUUUAUGGGAAUGAGUUUUCGGACGCGGGUUCAACUCCCGCCGCCUCCACCA